rnacentral:rRNA from 1 species
ACGAACGCUGGCGGCGUGCUUCACACCUGCAAGUCGAACGCUGAAGCUCAGCUUGCUGGGUGGAUGAGUGGCGAACGGGUGAGUAACACGUGAGUAACCUGCCCUCUUCUUUGGGAUAACGCCCGGAAACGGGUGCUAAUACUGGAUAUUCACUGAUUCUCGCAUGGGGGUUGGUGGAAAGGUUUUUUCUGGUGGGGGAUGGGCUCGCGGCCUAUCAGCUUGUUGGUGGGGUGAUGGCCUACCAAGGCUUUGACGGGUAGCCGGCCUGAGAGGGUGACCGGUCACAUUGGGACUGAGAUACGGCCCAGACUCCUACGGGAGGCAGCAGUGGGGAAUAUUGCACAAUGGGCGAAAGCCUGAUGCAGCGACGCCGCGUGAGGGAUGGAGGCCUUCGGGUUGUAAACCUCUUUCGCUCAUGGUCAAGCCGCAGCUUUGGGUUGUGGUGAGGGUAGUGGGUAAAGAAGCGCCGGCUAACUACGUG